UACGUAGGUGGCAAGCGUUGUCCGGAUUUACUGGGCGUAAAGAGCGCGCAGGCGGUCGUUCAAGUCGCGUGUGAAAGCCCCCGGCUCAACUGGGGAGGGUCACGCGAUACUGAUCGACUCGAAGGCAGGAGAGGGUAGUGGAAUUCCCGGUGUAGUGGUGAAAUGCGUAGAUAUCGGGAGGAACACCAGUGGCGAAGGGGACUACCUGGCCUGUUUCUUGACGCUGAGGCGCGAAAGCUAGGGGAGCAAACGGG
rnacentral:rRNA from 1 species